GAAAAUGAUUCGGCUAUUGUUCUUCGUUGUUUUCGCCAUUUACUGUGAUGUGUGUCUUACUCAAAGGUUAUGUGGAUUACCUCGGCGUAUGCAACCGCCUCCAGCUGUAAAAUACUCCAUUCCUGCGAAACCUAUCCUCACCGUAGGGAGACACAUCAUCGACAAUUACGACACAAUAGAAACGACCAGAGUUCUGAAUCAACUCCAAGAUUAUCCUGUUAAGGAUGACUGUGGAUGUUUAUCUUCAGAAAUUAUUAGUAAAUUAAUAGAUGCGUUAGUCGUGUCUACACUGCGAAACAAUGGUCGAAAUGAGGGCAAUCUGCUGAAUAUCGCCCUUGGUGACACGGAUUUAUUGGGUGUAUCUAUUUAAAUGCACUAAACGUAUAAUAUGAAAACUUUUGUAUGUAUCUGUAAGGAUUUUAAGUUUAAAGUCAUAUUAAAUGUAAAAAAAUUGUACUCAUUUA